rnacentral:rRNA from 1 species
UUAUGAAAGUUAGCGGCGGACGGGUGAGUAACACGUGGGUAACCUGCCCAUAAGACUGGGAUAACUCCGGGAAACCGGGGCUAAUACCGGAUAACAUUUUGAACCGCAUGGUUCGAAAUUGAAAGGCGGCUUCGGCUGUCACUUAUGGAUGGACCCGCGUCGCAUUAGCUAGUUGGUGAGGUAACGGCUCACCAAGGCAACGAUGCGUAGCCGACCUGAGAGGGUGAUCGGCCACACUGGGACUGAGACACGGCCCAGACUCCUACGGGAGGCAGCAGUAGGGAAUCUUCCGCAAUGGACGAAAGUCUGACGGAGCAACGCCGCGUGAGUGAUGAAGGCUUUCGGGUCGUAAAACUCUGUUGUUAGGGAAGAACAAGUGCUAGUUGAAUAAGCUGGCACCUUGACGGUACCUAUCCAGAA